GGGGAUAUAGCUCAGUUGGUAGAGUGCUUGUCAUGCAUACACAAGGCCCUGAGUUCAAUUCUCAACACCACCA
rnacentral:tRNA from 1 species